AGAGGUGUGGCUCAAGUGGUAGAGUACCUAUCUGGCAAGGGUGAGGCCCUGAGUUCAAAUCUCGGUACCACCA
rnacentral:tRNA from 1 species